rnacentral:rRNA from 1 species
UACGGGGGGGGCAAGCGUUGUUCGGAAUUACUGGGCGUAAAGGGCUCGUAGGCGGCCAACUAAGUCGGACGUGAAAUCCCCGGGCUCAACCCGGGAACUGCGUCCGAUACUGGCAGGCUUGAAUCCGGGAGAGGGAUGCGGAAUUCCAGGUGUAGCGGUGAAAUGCGUAGAUAUUGGGAAGAACACCGGUGGCGAAAGCGCUCUGCUGGACCUGCACUGACACUGAGGGACGAAAGCUAGGGGAGCGAAAGGG